rnacentral:rRNA from 1 species
CCCUUAGAUGUCCGGGGCCGCACGCGCGCUACACUGAAGGAAUCAGCGUGGCUUUCUCCCUGACCGGAAAGGGUUGGGAAACCCGUUGAAUCUCCUUCGUGAUAGGGAUUGGGGCUUGAAAUUGUUCCCCAUGAACGAGGAAUUCCCAGUAAGCGCGAGUCAUAAGCUCGCGUUGAUUACGUCCCUGCCCUUUGUACACACCGCCCGUCGCUACUACCGAUUGAACGGUUUAGUGAGGGCCUCGGAUUGGUCUCGGCCCGCUCUUUACCGGGCGGCGCCGUUGGUCGAGAAGACGCUCGAACUUGAUCGUUUAGAGGAAGUAAAAGUCGUAACA